UGAAUAAAUUUUUCAGUGGCUUUAUUCGUUUUGUGAAAUUCUAAACUACAUUAGAAACCUACGUGGAAGUUAAAAAUCCGUGAAAAUCAGCGUUGAUUGUAAAAUCGAAUAAAUAACUAGAGAUGUCAAACAUGUUUACCCGUCCCGUUCCGUCCGGUACCGCGGCUGGUCAGUCAUCGAGCGGGUCACAGCGGGCAUGUACCGUAAAACAUAUAGGCUUUCGCGGGUCGGCCCGCGUGACACAUCUAUAUUAAACCAAAUCUAACCUAUACUAAAAGGGUUAUAUGAGGAGUAGUGAGUGUGUCCAGUAGGACAAUUAAAUCGGCCAAUAGGAGAAGAGCUCUCCGCCACGUCACCUAACAAAGCAAUAUCACGGUUCUGGUGAACCCGAUUUCACUCGCUUCAUCUUCUCCGUUUCCCCUUUUUGCGAUCUUCAUCACCACUGACAAUCAAACUUUCUCUUUACUCUCAUCUUUAAUGUCUUUCGUUUCACCUCCCUCUCCAUCUAUUUCUUAUAAACCUUUUCACCAUUUCCUGGUUCCAAUCAAAAUCCAGAGAAUCCUCUCAGGAAGCCAAAUCCGCAUGAAAUUGAAUGGCACAUCCCCACCGAUCAGACAUACCGGCUAAACCGGUGUCUCCUCCACCAACUCUGUCUCCGGCGAUUCAGACUCCUCUGAGAAACACAAAGUCAACUUUUUGAUUUCUAUGGAGCUAAGUUGAUAUUAUUGAUGGUGGCUAUCGUUGGAGAAAAUAUGGCCAAAAAGCGGUCAAGAACAACAUGUUCCCCAGAUGAUCUUUAUAAUCCCCAAAAAGCUUAAAGCAGGCAAUGGAGUGGACCUUGAAACAGCAAAUGGGCGACACAAUUUCAAAAAUAAGAAAUUUUCAGAUCCGGCUACCGUCACUAAAUGGAAAGAUGAAAGAAUGAAACACCGUUUCAAGUACUCCAUGGUCAUACUGGAGAUGUCUUGGACUUGGCAUGGUCAGACUCAAAUUUGCUUCUUUCAGCUUCUAAAGACAAGACAGUUCGGCUAUGGAGAGUUGGUUGUGAUGAGUGUCUUCAUAUCUUCCAUAAUAACAACUACACAUGGACUCAUGUUUCAGCAACUUCAUGAAGACAAUGCUCAUCACUUACCUUCUCAUACCUCUCCCCCUUCUUGCCCUCCUCAUCUCUUCUAUGGAGGAGGAGGAAACUACAUGAUCAACAGAUCAAUGACGUUCACGGGAGUAUCAGACCACCACCAUCUUACUCAAAGAAGCCCGACCAUGACAAAGACAAUCUAUCAGAUGAUGGGUCCCAUAUGAUGUUAGGAGGGACGGAGAAGAGGCUGAAUUUAGAGCAAGUUAGGGCAUUAGAGAAGAUCUUCGAGCUAGGGAACAAGUUGGAGCCUGAGAGGAAGAUGCAGCUAGGUAAGGCCUUAGGGUUGCAGCCUAGGCAGAUUGCGAAUUGGUUUCAGAACAGGAAAUCUAGGUUGAAGACAAAGCAGCUUGAAAGAGACUAUGAUACUCUGAAGAAACAGCUCGAUGUUUUGAAAUCGGAUAAUGAUUCUCUUCUAGCACACAAUAAGAAACUCCAUGAUGGAUUCCUUAGAUGUCAAAGCUCGAAUCUGGGGUUUAUCAGAACAGAGGGUCGUCGCUUGGACCGAUGCUCAUGACUCCAUUUCAGCAAGUUACCAACACAACGGAAAUGUAAUUUUCUUUUCAGUUUUGCUCUGUUUUGGAGAUUACAAAGUUCGCAGCUUUGCUCUGUUUUUAAAAUCGCAGCUUUGCUCUGUUUUUUUAUACAGCCUUCUAAUUUUUUACGCUUCGGAAAAAGCAAGAUAUUUAUCGAGUUACUGAUCAGAGUUUAACUAUUUCUUUCUUGCACAACUCUGUUGGAGAGUGGUUGGAACAGAUGGGGCAGCAAGAAAUAUUUUUUUUGUUGGAUCCAUCGCUUUUCAGGAUGUAGCACACAAGGUCUCUGCCCUUAAAGUUUUUCUUAACAGGGGAGACAUGGCAAGACUUAAGGAGAUUCAAGAAGCUGUCUUACAAAUGAGCGCACCAAAGGCUCUGAGAAAUGAACUGAUUCACAAACUGAGAAGUGAAAGAAUGUCGUAUCAUGGAGAUGAAUCAAGCUGGAACCGAUCAUGGGUGGCAAUUUAGAAGCUCUGGGCUUCAAAGUGGAACGUGAGAGCUUACGUCAGUAGAAAACUAGAGUUGACCCAUGAUGCCGUCUGCAUGUCAAUGCUGGUUCAAGAAUCAUGUGGUGAUUAUGCUUUCGUCAUUCACACAAACAAUCCUGUCACUGGUGAUCCUUCAAAAAUACACACAAGAGAUUGUGAAGGGUUUGGGAGAGACCUUGGUUGGAGGAUAUCCAGGACGAGCAAUGAGCUUUAUCACCAAGAAAACAAACCUCAACUCGCCAACCGUGAGAAACAAAAAACAGAUAGUGUUUGCAUGUUAACUCCAGUAAAUAUUUGAGCUGUGCAGGUGAUCAGUAGUUACCCAAGUAAGAGGAUAGUUCUGUACUCUAAACCCUCUAUCAUGUUCUUAGCAGGAAUGUUGUCAAAGUCUAUACACAUUAAUACCAAAUAAUUGUUUUCCCCCUAAGUAAUAGACAACCUAUAAAAACCAUUGUUUUCUUUAAUGUUUUUUUUUUGGAUU